CGCCUAAUAUAUUCCCUAACCUCGUUUUGCUUAUACCUUUUAUUUACAACCCUAAUAUUCCAUACUAACCACUUCAUUGGUAAGAUGUUGAUGGUGGUUCCUCUACCUCCAUAGGAGGACCUUCUUUACUAACAAAACUGCUGCAAAUCUGUUACUCAUAGUGAUGGGGGAUAAGGGUGGGAAGUUGGAGAUGUUGAGUGCUGGGCUCUGGACCUGUUUCCCUUUAUCACUGCCCUUAUCAACUCUGUGAUUCUGGACUAUUCUGGCUUCAUUAACAGUAGUUUCAACAUGUUGGGUUACAGGUUGCUGUUGUACUCCUUUAUCACUGCCCUUAUCAACUCUGUGAGUCUGGACUAUUCUGGUUUCAUUUACAGUAGGUUCAGCAUGUUGGGUUACAGGUUGCUGUUUUACUGGCCUAGCAGGGCCUUUGGUUCUCCAAACCUGCACCACCUUUGGCUUCCAUACUUGUGUAGUCUGUCUUGGGUUCUGCUUUUGUUGGAUUGCACAAUUGUGUCCUAUUGUUUGUCAUUUCUCACAAUAUGAGGGCUUCCAUUCAUACUCCACAUCCUGCAGGAACUUCUUACCAAUUGGGUCCAUAACCCAUAUCUCUGCAGGCAAUUCUUUGGUGACAGUCACCUCUAUAAGCAUUCUGGCAUAAGAUAUCCGUGCCUGUUUUGUGGUGGACUCAUCUGCAAAGAUUGGCUUUCCUAACCCACUGGCAAUUCUGCUAAGAGACCUCAUCCCCCAGCACGACAUUGGUAAUCUUGGAAACUUUACCCAUAUGGGAACUUCUGUUGGAAAUUCUUCAGAGAAAUCAAAGUCAGGUGUCCAUUGUUUGAGUAUCAUGGGCCUAUUGGCAAUGGAGUAUGGACCAGCACACAUAAUCUCUUUGGCAUCAGCCACAUUCUUGAAUUUCACAAUGUAGCACCCUUAAUCAUGAUAGAACAAAUCUGGUUCGGGGACUUGAGACCAGUGGUGACUAAUAAAUCUUCUCAUUGCAUUGAAGCCAGGACCGUCACCCAGAAUGUACACCACUAAGGCACACUUCCAUUUAGCUUCCUCCUCCUCGACUUCAGCUUUUUCCAGUUGUACCAUAGGUUUCCCAUCGACUAUCAUUGGGGGAAUGUAAUUGAUAGCCAUACCAUGUGUCGCAAAACGAUUCUUCUGAAAGAGUGUUGACCAGCUCUUCUUAGGUUCUUCUGGUUUGGCUUUGGUAGGUCCUGUUUGCUCCUCCGGUACAAAUCGAUUCUUCUGAAAGAGUGUUGACCAGCUCUUCUUAGGUUCUUCUAUUUUGGCUUUGGUAGGUCCUGUUUGCUCCUCCGGUGAUAAUGUUGGUUGCAUGGUGGUCUCUGUGGCAUCAGUUGUUUCUAUUGUACUUGGAGUGGUUGAUAUGCCUCCAACCUUUGGUGUCUCCUGCGGUUCCGUAAUUGUUUUU
rnacentral:lncRNA from 1 species